CGCGUAGGCGGGUUAUUAAGUCAGCUGUGAAAGCCCAGGGCUUAACCUUGGAACUGCAGUUGAUACUGGUGACCUAGAGUACAGUAGAGGAAGGUGGAAUUUCAGGUGUAGCGGUGAAAUGCGUAGAGAUCUGAAGGAACAUCAGUGGCGAAGGCGGCCUUCUGGACUGAUACUGACGCUGAGGUGCGAAAGCGUGGGGAGCAAACA
rnacentral:rRNA from 1 species